GCCGACUUAGCUUAGUGGUAGAGCGUUGCACUUGUAGGCAGACAGGCUCCGCACGAUGCAAAGGUCGGUUGUUCAAUCCAGCCAAUCGGCA